UACGUAGGGGGCAAGCGUUGUCCGGAAUCAUUGGGCGUAAAGAGCGUGUAGGCGGCCCGAUAAGUCCGCCGUGAAAGUCCAGGGCUCAACCCUGGAAUGCCGGUGGAAACUGUCGGGCUGGAGUCCGGAAGAGGCGAGUGGAAUUCCUGGUGUAGCGGUGAAAUGCGCAGAUAUCAGGAGGAACACCGGUGGCGAAGGCGGGUCUCUGGGCCGAAACUGACGCUGAGGAGCGAAAGCGUGGGGAGCAAACAGG
rnacentral:rRNA from 1 species